GAUGAACGCUGGCGGCGUGCCUAAUACAUGCAAGUCGAGCGAAUGGAUUAAGAGCUUGCUCUUAUGAAGUUAGCGGCGGACGGGUGAGUAACACGUGGGUAACCUGCCCAUAAGACUGGGAUAACUCCGGGAAACCGGGGCUAAUACCGGAUAACAUUUUGAACCGCAUGGUUCGAAAUUGAAAGGCGGCUUCGGCUGUCACUUAUGGAUGGACCCGCGUCGCAUUAGCUAGUUGGUGAGGUAACGGCUCACCAAGGCAACGAUGCGUAGCCGACCUGAGAGGGUGAUCGGCCACACUGGGACUGAGACACGGCCAGACUCCUACGGGAGGCAGCAGUAGGGAAUCUUCCGCAAUGGACGAAAGUCUGACGGAGCAACGCCGCGUGAGUGAUGAAGGCUUUCGGGUCGUAAAACUCUGUUGUUAGGGAAGAACAAGUGCUAGUUGAAUAAGCUGGCACCUUGACGGUACCUAACCAGAAAGCCUCGGCUAACUACGUGCCAGCCGCCGCCGUAA
rnacentral:rRNA from 1 species